GUAGGUGGCAAGCGUUGUCCGGGAAUUAUUGGGGCGUAAAGCGCGCGCAGGCGGUUCUUUAAGUCUGAUGUGAAAGCCCACGGGCUCAACCGUGGAGGGUCAUUGGAAACUGGAGAACUUGAGUACAGAAGAGGAAAGCGGAAUUCCACGUGUAGCGGUGAAAUGCGUAGAGAUGUGGAGGAACACCAGUGGCGAAUGCGGCUUUCUGGUCUGUAACUGACGCUGAGGCGCGAAAGCGUGGGGAGCAAACAGGAUUAGAUACCCUGGUAGUCCACGCCGUAAACUAUGAGUGCUAAGUGUUAGGGGGUUUCCGCCCCUUAGUGCUGCAGCUAACGCAUUAAGCACUCCGCCUGGGGAGUACGGCCGCAAAGGCUG
rnacentral:rRNA from 1 species